AUUGAACGCUGGCGGCAUGCCUUACACAUGCAAGUCGAACGGUAACAGGUCUUCGGAUGCUGACGAGUGGCGAACGGGUGAGUAAUACAUCGGAACGUGCCUAGUAGUGGGGGAUAACUACUCGAAAGAGUGGCUAAUACCGCAUGAGAUCUACGGAUGAAAGCAGGGGAUCGCAAGACCUUGUGCUACUAGAGCGGCCGAUGGCAGAUUAGGUAGUUGGUGGGAUAAAAGCUUACUAAGCCGACCAUCUGUAGCUGGUCUGAGAGGACGAUCAGCCACACUGCGGCUGCGACACGGCCCAGACUCCGACGGGAGGCAGCAGUGGGGAAUUUUGGACAAUGGGCGCAAGCCUGAUCCAGCAAUGCCGCGUGCAGGAUGAAGGCCUUCGGGUUGUAAACUGCUUUUGUACGGAACGAAAAGCCCCGGGUUAAUACCCUGGGGUCAUGACGGUACCGUAAGAAUAAGCACCGGCUAACUACGUGCCAGCCGCCGCGGUAA
rnacentral:rRNA from 1 species